UUACGUUUGUGUUGAUAUUUUCGUUGUAAUUUUCGCUCAAAGUAUGUACAUUAGCGCCAUUAAUGUCCGCGAUCGUUAUGAAGUUAACAGGUGCUAACGAGCAGAUUGGGAAGUAAAUAAAUGCUACUGGAUCGAGGCCCCUCGUCAUCUCUCCUGCCUCUUCAAUCAUCCAAAGACUGUUUAGUCUGUUAUUUUAAUGUAAUGGUCGGUUCAUGUCCGUUGCAUUGACUUGACUUGUCAUUGGGUCUGAUUUUAAAUGUGCCAUAUAAUUCAAUGUGGGAGCAGAUUCACACACUAAAUAAGACACUAAGGUCAAGCACAAGCAGAUUUUUUGUUUUAUUUUUCUCAGAGCAGAGUAGAGCAGAUGUUUCAGGUUGCUGCCAUCAGAGAGCAGUGACUUGACCUCAGUGUCUUAUUUAGUGUACUCCCACAUUGAACUCUACUUUUUGGGUCCACGCACCUACUUAUUUCUAAACAUCUAGAGUGCAACAAUACCCAUGCCUCCUAAUGUGCCAUAUAACCUGUAUCUCGCCUAUUGUGUGUGUGUGUGUGUGUGUGUGAGUGUGAGUGUUCGUGAAUGUGUUCACGCAGAUAUAAGAAGUUGGGGUUGGGGUUGAUGAUCCACAUGAUGGUGAUGGACCAGGACAGCUCUGGACCUCCUGACUGGCAGCUCCAUCCUCAACCUCCCUUCCUGUCCUUCACACAUGUGCAGGCAGAGGCAGUUUUCUGAAGGAUGGUUAAUGUCAGUACCAACAUGUUGUGAUGGAGGCUUCCACCUGAGCUGAACACAGAAACUUGCACACAGUGAUGGAAGCAGUCGUUCCUGUUCAGCAUUGAUAUGCCGGUAAUGGGUUUGAUGAGCCACAGCAUGGUGAUGGGCAAUCAGCAUCAGGACCAGGGCCGCUCACAAGGAGAACCUCCUGCCCUGCCUCUUCAUCCUCAACCUCCAAUCUUCCUGCUCUUCACACAUGUGCAGGCACAGAGCCAGUUUUCAGAGGGAGGGCUGAUGACACCAGCAACUUCGGAUCUGAACCUGAUCAACCCAGCACCAACCACUGAACCGCUCCUCCUCUGCCAACUGCACCACAUGGCUCCACCAUCUCAAAAAGGCACAGACACUACUCCACUUCCUGCGAAGGAUGAGAGAAGAGCCGACCUCCCCACAACGGCACUCACCACCUUCUACAGGGGUGUCAUUGAGAGCAUCCUGACCAGCAGCCUCUCUGUCUGGCAUGGCAGCCGUCAAGCUGAAGACUAGAAGGCAGUACAGAGAGUGGUGAGGACAGCAGAAAAGCUCAUAAGAUCACCCCUACCUGUUCUCCCUACUACCAUCAGGGAAGCGCUAGCCCAGCAUGCGGUGCUGCAAAAGCACACUGGGAAACGACUUCUUUCCACAAGCCAUCAGACUCCUCAACGCACUGAAAAAAACCACAUGAAUAACCAAGGACACGGGAGAAUAUUCCAUGAACACUUCUUUCACCAUGCCACUUACACUUUACUCAUUGCACCUUGUAUACAGCAUCUUCACACCACCUGUAUGAACUCCUCCUGCCGUGUGUGUGUGUCCACUGUGUUUGUGUAUUUAUUGUCCAUCAGUAUGUUAAUCUUAUUAUUGCACACUGUUUGGGUGUCUGUAUUUAUAGUAUGUAUCAGUCUGUAUUUAAUGCCAAUGCCUUAUUUUUAGUUAUUAGUUAAAUGCACAUUGGAGACUGGUCAAACACAAUUUCAAACUUUGUGUUAACCCUCUUGUUGACCGUUCACACUUCAUAGUGUAAAAGUAAACAGAAAUAAAUUCACAUUUCA